rnacentral:rRNA from 1 species
CCUACGGGAGGCAGCAGUGGGGAAUAUUGCACAAUGGGCGCAAGCCUGAUGCAGCCAUGCCGCGUGUGUGAAGAAGGCCUUCGGGUUGUAAAGCACUUUCAGCGAGGAGGAAAGGGUGUAAGUUAAUACCUUACAUCUGUGACGUUACUCGCAGAAGAAGCACCGGCUAACUCCGUGCCAGCAGCCGCGGUAAUA